CACCACCACCACUUUCCUUCCACCUCUCUAGCGCUGUCGUUGUCUGCUCUUGUCGUCCGUCGCCUCCCACCGCCGCCGGACGCCGUCAGCCUAUGUGUCGCGUCGAUUCACUGUUGCCGGUGAGCUUCCCCUCUGUCUCCCUCCCUACUUUUUUCCUCGCACCGUCGUCUUCGGGUGGUGCGUCGACACCGUGCGAGUGCACCGUCCGCCAUCGCCACCGCUUCCUCUCGGCGUAGCCGCCGGCGCCCGAGCUCGUCCAUGCCCACCAUGUGUCAUCGUCGGCGCGUCGGUCUUCACUAAUGCCAUGCCACCGCUCCCCGCAUCAUCGCCGUUGAUGCCAUCGUCCUCGCCAUCGCUUGCCAGUCGCGCCGGUCGCGCCGCCAUGACCGCUGGCCGUCGUCGUUGCUCCGGCGGAGCCAAGCACCGGCGGCGGCCAUCUCUCCCUCUCCCUGUUUUCUCUCACUGGCCUGCAUGGUCCACCCGCCAGCCGACCGCCCUCUCUCCCCUUCGGUCGGGCCCGCAUGUUAGCCGCCCCGCCUCCCUCCUCUGUCUCCCUCCCUCGAGCCCACUUGCCAGCCGGCAAUCCCCCUCCUCUCUCUCCUGAGGGCCCACUUGUCACCCUCUCACCCCUCCCCCUCUCACCGACAGGUGGACCCCACCUGUCAGCGCCACCUCACUCCUCGUUGACGUCAACGGCCUCCUUUAGUUGCACAAUUAAUUCAAUUAAGGUUUUUUUAGUUUAAAAAUAACACCUAACUUCUAAAAUGCAUAACUAAAUCAUCCGAUCUCUGUUUUAGUCCAUUCAAAUUUCAUUAAUUUAGAAAAAUGCCUAGAAUCCAUUAAAAUAUAAUCUUGUUUAUUUAAAUCAUCGCCGAUUUACUUCAAAAUCAUCGCCGAGGUAUCUCAGGGAAUCGAGCAAGGCAAGUGGCACUUAUUUAUUUAGUCAAACUUGCCUAGCUUUAUUUAUUGUAUCUAUUUUCCGAGUAACCGAUUAUUAUAUCAUUGUUUAUCCAUCUUUAUUUAUGUUAUACCAGAGUUAAAUUUGAAUAGAGUUAGGCCCACCGUGUGUCGUCGCCGUUGCAUCGAUCUUCACUAACGCCAUGCCACCGCUUCCUGCAUCGUCGUCGCCGAUGCCAUCGUCCUCGCCAUCGCUCGCAGUUCGCGCCGUCGUGACCCCCGGCCAUCGCCAUUGCUCCGGCUGAGCCAAGCGCCGGCGACGGCCAUCUCUCCCCCUCCCUGUUUUUCUCUCACUGGCCUGCUGUUGGCACUAAAAAUGACAAUCAACAGUCACACACGUAGGCCUGAGAAUCAAUAUUAGACCACUCUAGUGCAGGACUUAAUUCUUAUAAAUGUUUGGCAUGCCAGUCAAUUUGAUCCUGUAACUGACAAGAUAUAACAUGGAAAAUAGUUAACCCCAAAACCGCUAUCGGCCGGACAGCCGAUACCAUUCCAGGACCCUAGCCGAUGAACUAGACGAUCGGCUUUAAAGGAAUUUCAUGAUAGUGAGUAUAAAUUUUCUCAAUCGGCUGAGUUAGAAACAGGAUAAACACUAAACAGACCAACCAACCAAUUAAUCUUAAAAGAUCGGACCCAACCAAGACAGUCUUAAGAUUAAUCAGUCGAUCGGACCGAUUCAGCACUUAUCUCACGUAAAACCGACCGCCAAUAGGAGACUAAGUAUUGAAUUUAGCAUAAACCAGCACGCUAUACCAAUUACUAGUACGAAACAAUAACAGUCAACUACACAUAUGUCGAUACUAGACCUAGAAGAUCGAACCCAAUCGAGACAGUACAGAUCUGAAUAUAACCAUAAGUGAAAUUAACUGAACAUUGCACCGUGCGAAUAACAGGAUAGCAAACUAAUGUAUCUACUAACCAAUUCAUUAAACUCAUCCGAUUGAACAUAUCUCUGUAAGCAGAUCGCACGGAAUAUACAUAGAUCAUAUCUAACCGAGACAUUAUGAAAUCCAGUACAAUAGAAUUAUAGAAAUAUGAAGAUCGAUGAGCUUAAUGAACCAACCAGUAGACUACUUAAGAUAAUGAUGGCUGGAACUUCAACGAUAAACCCCCACGAGUCCCCAAUCUAAUCCGUCAAUGCGAACCCGCUAACCAGAUUGAUCGGACCGAACCGAGACAGAAUUAGAUAACCUAGAAACGCAUGAACAGAUUAAACGGAAGAACUCGUGAGGAUUUGAUCGAGAACUAUUACUACUUCAAGCUAACAGAUUAAAGCAAUAAUAGAACUUAGCCCGUCAAUCAAGCAGGCAGGAGAUCGGACUUAACCGAGACAGUCAUGUUCUAGUUGAUUGACGGAUUUUGACAAACAUGAACUUACAUUGCGAAGCUGACAAACCCCAUGCCAAAAGCUCAAGCAAGUUGAAGGUGUUGAGGCGAUGCACCGAAUUAGAUUGAUCUGAAGAUGAUUUACAAUGACCCCAGGGACUUAUAUUUAUUCCCUCGGGUAUUAACUAACUUAUCCGCAUAAAACAUGUUACUAACUAAGACCAUCUCCAACAAAUGGCUCAUCUCACUCUCCAAACCAAAUUUUAGCCAUUCUAGCAAAAAAACAUGCUCCAACUGCCACUCCAACAGGAUGGCUCAACCAUCCAGCUGGCCAAAACUCUCCCUCCACUAGCCAAAUUUGGUCACUCUAUUUGGCUGACCAAUUGUGGGCCCCACACAGCCAACCCCCCACCCACCUUCCACGGUAGCAACCAGGCUGCCAAAGUCCGCCGCUGCCCUCGCCAUCGAAGUUUGUCGCCGAAGUCCGCCGCCGUCCAAAGCCCGCCUUCGCCGUCGAAGUCUGUUCAUCCGCGGUAGCCCGCCGCCACCGUCACUGCUCGUGCGCACACGGGNNNNNNNNNNNNNNNNNNNNNNNNNNNNNNNNNNNNNNNNNNNNNNNNNNNNNNNNNNNNNNNNNNNNNNNNNNNNNNNNNNNNNNNNNNNNNNNNNNNNNNNNNNNNNNNNNNNNNNNNNNNNNNNNNNNNNNNNNNNNNNNNNNNNNNNNNNNNNNNNNNNNNNNNNNNNNNNNNNNNNNNNNNNNNNNNNNNNNNNNNNNNCGAGAGAAGCCGCCGCUCUCGCCGCUGGCGCAUGGGUAAUCCGUCGCCGCCCUUCACGCGCCGCGCCGACGUCGCGCCGCUGCUCCGCAACCUCCCUCCCCGCACCAUUGCUCGCACGCGCGGUGAGCCGCUGCCUCUUCGGCUAGCUGAGAGGAAGAAAAGGAGAAAGAGAAAGAGAGAAGAAAAAGAAAGAGAGAGAAAGAGAAAGAGAGAGAGGGAGAGAGGAGAGUAAAGAAGAGACUGACUUGUGGGGCCCUAAUGUCAUACACUUAAAAUAGACAGGAUGAAUGGAGAGGCUGUUGGAGUAAAAAACGAAUUUGACUUGUCAAAUAAAAUGGGGAGUGGCUAAAUAGACAUUUGAAGAGUGCAAUUUGGGCUGUCUGUUGGAGAUGCUCUAACUUAUAGUGUUUGGACUUUAACUAAAUAUAAAAAUCCUAAAGAAACUCUAAGCUAACUUCUAAUUAUUUGACACGGACUCACAACCAACACCGAAUCUAUCCCCAAACUUUUAAGCCCAAUCGGACUCCAACUCACGUCCGAUUCGGACUCCAUCGGCUGCAUCCAUGCUGCGUCCAACCUUCUCUCUCCAGCCGACUCGCCCUUUCUUGCCCGAUUCGGUCUUUAGCCAUGUUUCAAUCCAUAACGGCAAUUUGCUAAAAUCUUGCGUUAACACCUGUGGGGUCCACCCGCCAGCUGGCCGUCCUCUCUCCCCUUCGGGCCCACUUGCCAGCCGACAACCCCCCUCUCUACUCUCUCUCCCGAGGGCCCACUUGUCACCCUCUCACCCCUCUCCCCUCUUCACCAAUAGGUCGACCCCACCUGUCAGCGCCACCUCACUCCUUGUUGAGGUCAGCGGCCUCCUUUAGUUGCAUAAUUAAUUCAAUAAGAUUUUUUUUGUUUAGUUUAAAAAUAGCAGCUAACUUCUAAAAUGCAUAACUAAUUCAUCCGGUCUCUGUUUUAGUCCAUUCGAAUUUCAUUAAAUUCAGAAAAAUGCCUAGAAUCCAUUAAAAUAUAAUCUUGUGUUGUUUCAGUAGAGUUUGUGUAUGUUUUAUUUAUUUUUAUGCUUUGUCGCUCUGAUUCAGAGCCUGUUGACGCACCGAUUUUCUUCAAAAUCGUCGCCGAGGUAUCUCAGGGAACAGAGCAAGGCAAGUGGCACUUAUUUAUUUAGUUAAACUUGCAUUGCUUUAUUUAUUGUAUCUAUUUUCCGAGUAACUGAUUAUUAUUUCGUUGUUUAUCCAUCUUUAUUUAUGUUAUACUGGGGGUAAAUUUGAGUAGAGUUAGGUCUAGGUUAUGCUUGGCUUUGCUUAGAACAAGUAGCACAUAGGAUCACACAAUAAUCAAUGCUAGUUAUGAAUAGUUGUUGAUGAUGAUUUAAUAUCUGGUCAGGGUUAAUGCCAACUAAAAUAUUGCUAGUGGUGGGCUGUGGGUGCAUAGUUUUGAGAGUCGUGCUCAUGGCAAUUAAGGACCGGUUCGCAUGGAACUCUGUAAGUUAUUUUAGUGCUAACCACAAGCUAGUAUGGGCAACGGUGGGAUUUGAAGUGUAAUUGUGAACUAUUCAACAUACUCAGACUAGGGUGAGCGUGAUGGAGUAUGGAUGGACUCUGUGACGGUAUAUGCUGCUUUCGAAAUUGCCUAGGCACAAGAGGGGGCUGCUUGACUUGGUUUAAAGGAGGGAGCGAAUCCUGCGGUGUGGUGCGAUUGAAUAGGGAGGGUUAUGUGACAGGUCCUAUCACAGGUUCCUAUCCGGUGUGUCAUGGUGGUACGUCGGCGCACGUUCAAGUGUAAUGGAACUAUGUCUUGUGGGUACAGUAGUACACAUCUGAUUAGAGUAAACCUAUUCGAAUAGUCGUGCCCACGGUUAAGGGCGAACUGUCAGAUUCGCUGUGAUUAGUCGAACCAAUAACAACCUGAUUAAUCUGGAACUAGUUUGGGACUACCGUAAUGUGGUGUAACGUUGGACAGAGAUGUUGGUACUUUACAAGUAUUUAUUUAUUUAUACUAUUUUAUUUCAAUCUCUGUUAUUUAUUAAAUGCUGCUUUAUGCAAAUAACCCUAGCAUAUCCUUAUGAUCCGAUGCACAAUUUAUUAUUCAUGUUCCACGCUACUUGUUGAGUACCGUGGUUUAUACUCAGCCUUGCAUAAUUUCUCCUUCAGAUGUAGAGAAUGAAUCGGAUAAAGGUGAGUCUCAGGAGUAAGCUGUCAGUCAUCAAGAUGUUGCCUGUGGACUGGAGUCGUUCCACGCUGGAGCUAGUCUACAUUAUCUUUUUCGCUACACUUCGUUAGAUUAUUUAUUCAUUUUCAGUUAUUUCUAAGAACCAUGAUUAUGUAAUCAACAUUGUCUAUUUAUGUAUCCUAGCU
rnacentral:lncRNA from 1 species